UUAUAUACUUUAAAAAAGAAA
rnacentral:piRNA from 1 species